rnacentral:rRNA from 1 species
CCUACGGGGGGCAGCAGUGGGGGAUAUUGCACAAUGGGGGAAACCCUGAUGCAGCAACGCCGCGUGUGGGAAGAAGGUUUUCGGAUUGUAAACCACUGUCCCCAGGGACGAAAAUGACGGUACCUGGGGAGGAAGCUCCGGCUAACUACGUGCCAGCAGCCGCGGUAAUACGUAGGGAGCAAGCGUUGUCCGGAAUUACUGGGUGUAAAGGGAGCGUAGGCGGGGAUGCAAGUUGGGUGUCAAAACUACCGGCUCAACCGAUAGUCGCACUCAAAACCGCAGCUCUUGAGUGAAGUAGAGGCAGGCGGAAUUCCUAGUGUAGCGGGGAAAUGCGUAGAUAUUAGGAGGAACACCAGUGGCGAAGGCGGCCUGCUGGGCUUUUACUGACGCUGAGGCUCGAAAGUGUGGGGAGCAAACAGGAUUAGAUACCCGAGUAGUC